rnacentral:rRNA from 1 species
GGCUCACCAAGGCUGCGAUCCGUAGCUGGUCUGAGAGGAUGAUCAGCCACAUCGGGACUGAGACACGGCCCGAACUCCUACGGGAGGCAGCAGUGGGGAAUAUUGGACAAUGGGCGAAAGCCUGAUCCAGCCAUGCCGCGUGUGUGAAGAAGGCCUUCGGGUUGUAAAGCACUUUCAGUGAGGAAGAAAGCCUUGAGGUUAAUACCCUCGAGGGAGGACAUCACUCACAGAAGAAGCACCGGCUAACUCCGUGCCAGCAGCCGCGGUAAUACGGAGGGUGCGAGCGUUAAUCGGAAUUACUGGGCGUAAAGCGCGCGUAGGCGGCUUGAUAAGCCGGUUGUGAAAGCCCCGGGCUCAACCUGGGAACGGCAUCCGGAACUGUCAGGCUAGAGUGCAGGAGAGGAAGGUAGAAUUCCCGGUGUAGCGGUGAAAUGCGUAGAGAUCGGGAGGAAUACCAGUGGCGAAGGCGGCCUUCUGGACUGACACUGACGCUGAGGUGCGAAAGCGUGGGUAGCAAACAGGAUUAGAUACCCUGGUAGUCCACGCCGUAAACGAUGUCGACUAGCCGUUGGGCUCCUUGAGAGCUUUGUGGCGCAGUUAACGCGAUAAGUCGACCGCCUGGGGAGUACGGCCGCAAGGUUAAAACUCAAAUGAAUUGACGGGGGCCCGCACAAGCGGUGGAGCAUGUGGUUUAAUUCGAUGCAACGCGAAGAACCUUACCUACCCUUGACAUCGAGAGAACUUUCCAGAGAUGGAUUGGUGCCUUCGGGAGCUCUCAGACAGGUGCUGCAUGGCUGUCGUCAGCUCGUGUUGUGAAAUGUUGGGUUAAGUCCCGUAACGAGCGCAACCCUUGUCCCUAUUUGCCAGCGAUUCGGUCGGGAACUCUAGGGAGACUGCCGGUGACAAACCGGAGGAAGGUGGGGACGACGUCAAGUCAUCAUGGCCCUUACGGGUAGGGCUACACACGUGCUACAAUGGCCGGUACAAUGGGUUGCGAAUCCGCGAGGUGGAGCUAAUCCCAUAAAGCCGGUCUCAGUCCGGAUCGGAGUCUGCAACUCGACUCCGUGAAGUCGGAAUCGCUAGUAAUCGUGAAUCAGAAUG